rnacentral:rRNA from 1 species
AUUGAACGCUGGCGGCAUGCCUUACACAUGCAAGUCGAACGGUAACAGGUCUUCGGAUGCUGACGAGUGGCGAACGGGUGAGUAAUACAUCGGAACGUGCCUAGUAGUGGGGGAUAACUACUCGAAAGAGUGGCUAAUACCGCAUGAGAUCUACGGAUGAAAGCAGGGGAUCGCAAGACCUUGUGCUACUAGAGCGGCCGAUGGCAGAUGAGGUAGUUGGUGGGAUAAAAGCUUACCAAGCCGACGAUCUGUAGCUGGUAUGAGAGGACGAACAGCACACUGGGGAUGAGACACGGCCCAGACUCCUACGGGAGGCAGCAGUAGGGAAUUUUGGACAAUGGGCGAAAGCCUGACCCAGCAAUGCCGCGUGCAGGAGGAAGGCCUUCGGGUUGUAAACUGCUUUUGUACGGAACGAAAAGCCCCGGGUUAAUACCCUGGGGUCAUGACGGUACCGUAAGAAUAAGCACCGGCUAACUACGUGCCAGCCGCCGCGGUAA